rnacentral:rRNA from 1 species
UACAGAGGUGGCAAGCGUUGUUCGGAAUUACUGGGCGUAAAGGGCGCGUAGGCGGUUCGAUAAGUCCCGUGUGAAAUCCCUCGGCUCAACUGAGGAACUGCACGGGAAACUGACGGGCUUGAGUUCGGGAGAGGGAAGCGGAAUUCCGGGUGUAGCGGUGAAAUGCGUAGAUAUCCGGAGGAAUACCGGUGGCGAAGGCGGCAUCCUGGACCGACAUUGACGCUGAUGAGCGAAAGCUAGGGGAGCAAACGGG